rnacentral:rRNA from 1 species
GUGUACGUACAAGCAGUGGGAGCACCUUCGUGGUGUGACUGCGUACCUUUUGUAUAAUGGGUCAGCGACUUACAUUUUGUAGCGAGGUUAACCGAAUAGGGGAGCCGUAGGGAAACCGAGUCUUAAUAGGGCGAAUUAGUUGCAAGGUGUAGACCCGAAACCCGGUGAUCUAGCCAUGGGCAGGUUGAAGGUUGGGUAACACUAACUGGAGGACCGAACCGACUAAUGUUGAAAAAUUAGCGGAUGACUUGUGGCUGGGGGUGAAAGGCCAAUCAAACCGGGAGAUAGCUGGUUCUCCCCGAAAGCUAUUUAGGUAGCGCCUCGGACGAACACCUACGGGGGUAGAGCACUGUUAAGGCUAGGGGGUCAUCCCGACUUACCAACCCUUUGCAAACUCCGAAUACCGUAGAGUGCUAUCCGGGAGACACACGGCGGGUGCUAACGUCCGUCGUGAAGAGGGAAACAACCCAGACCGCCAGCUAAGGUCCCAAAGUCAUGGUUAAGUGGGAAACGAUGUGGGAAGGCUUAGACAGCUAGGAUGUUGGCUUAGAAGCAGCCAUCAUUUAAAGAAAGCGUAAUAGCUCACUAGUCGAGUCGGCCUGCGCGGAAGAUGUAACGGGGCUAAACCAUGCACCGAAGCUGCGGCAAUGAC